CUGAUCCCAGCGAAGCGCAUUCCAGAAAGAUCCACGCUCCAAAAUGGACAGGGCAGGAAGUUCCAGCUCGCUGGGAAAAAACAGGAGCGGGCACGGCAGGAAUGCUCAUCCCAUCCUCGCUGGGAUCCUCCCUGGGAUCAGCGGGAUUCCCCGGCAGGAACAGGAGCCCGGGCACCGAGAUCCAGAGACAAGGGACCUUUAUCAGCUUGAACUUCAUCUCCGCCCCAGAAAAGCUGCGCCCGGCCCAGCCCUGCCAGAGGAAUCUUCCAGAAGGUUUUCAUUUGGGGACUUGGAGCUUCCAGUGGCCGCACUCUCAUCCCAGUUGGAACUUUAUCCCCAGGCCUGCUUAUCUCCAGCCUGAAAUGAUUUGGCUGAUGUCAGUGCCUUCCUGCCUGCAGGAUUAAGGGAUCCAUUCCAAUCUCUCCAAUUGGCAGGAGGAUCCCUUAUUCCCAGGAGUUCUGAGGUGGGAAGUUGAGGAUUCCUAAGAUCAACGGAGCAGGUCUGGAAUCCCCCAGGGACUGAGGAAACUCCAAGAGCCGGGAAUUGAAUAACUCCGGGAACGGGCUGAAGGAGAAAACGGGAUCAGCAGCUUUCCAAGGAGCCCCGGGCAGGGCAGAGCUUCACACCCGAAAAUCACCCGGCAAAGGCCGCGUCGUUUCCCCGCUGCGUUCCUUGGAAAUGUGUUCCUACUCCAGCUCCAGCUGCUCCAGAUGUGCUGGAACUGCGGCCGAGCUCAUCCCGAGAGCGCCGCCGGACGCGGCCCUGGACACGGGUGGUCCCGGCCCCGCAGAGCCUUUGAUGUGCACUCCCAGGAGCUGGGAUGUUCCUGUGCUCUGUGGAGGUGCUGGAGUGGGAUCUGCGAGGGGUGAGUGCAGCACAACGGGGGAAACCCCAAACAAAUUGUGAUUUUUGCCUGUUGGACCCGGCGAAGGAGUGAAGGAAAAGAAGUUUUUACCCUUGGUGUUGAAUUUUGUGGCAAAAGCGGCAAAUCCAGUAAUUCCGGGUUAUUUGGGGUCACAGGGAUUCACUGAUGGGGACAAACCUGGCAGGAAAAGCCCUCAGAGCUCCUCGGGGAGUGAUUCCCAAAGAAUCCUGGCAGGAACGAUCUGGACUUGCUCCGAGGUGAGCCGGGAGUUCCUCCUGGGAGUAAGGAGAGAACAAAACCCUGGCGAUCCUUUAAAAACCCAUCUCCACACGCCUCGAAGAGGGAAAGCAACAUCUGCUGGGCUCCAUCCAGGUGUUUCAUGUCCCUGCCAUUAAUUGGAGGGGACAUUAUGUCAUCACACAUCAACGGGGAAAGUUGGUUAAAGUGCCACUUAUCUCCGGGGCUGCCGUUAAUCAGCUCCCUUUCAGCGGGAGCAGUGACACCUUGGAAUGUUUUCCUUCUCCUUUUCCAGGUGCUCAGGGACAAGAAGUGUGGAA